GCUCAACCGGGGAGGGUCAUUGGAAACUGGGGAACUUGAGUGCAGAAGAGGAGAGUGGAAUUCCACGUGUAGCGGUGAAAUGCGUAGAGAUGUGGAGGAACACCAGUGGCGAAGGCGACUCUCUGGUCUGUAACUGACGCUGAGGAGCGAAAGCGUGGGGAGCGAACAGGAUUAGAUACCCUGGUAGUCCACGCCGUAAACGAUGAGUGCUAAGUGUUAAGGGGUUUCCGCCCCUUAGUGCUGCAGCUAACGCAUUAAGCACUCCGCCUGGGGUGUACGGUCGCAAGACUGAAACUCAAAGGAAUUGACGGGGGCCCGCACAAGCGGUGGAGCAUGUGGUUUAAUUCGAAGCAACGCGAAGAACCUUACCAGGUCUUGACAUCCUCUGACAAUCCUAGAGAUAGGACGUCCCCUUCGGGGGCAGAGUGACAGGUGGUGCAUGGUUGUCGUCAGCUCGUGUCGUGAGAUGUUGGGUUAAGUCCCGCAACGAGCGCAACCCUUGAUCUUAGUUGCCAGCAUUCAGUUGGGCACUCUAAGGUGACUGCCGGUGACAAACCGGAGGAAGGUGGGGAUGACGUCAAAUCAUCAUGCCCCUUAUGACCUGGGCUACACACGUGCUACAAUGGACAGAACAAAG
rnacentral:rRNA from 1 species